UAGGGAAUCUUCGGCAAUGGACGAAAGUCUGACCGAGCAACGCCGCGUGAGUGAAGAAGGUUUUCGGAUCGUAAAACUCUGUUGUUAGAGAAGAACAAGGACGUUAGUAACUGAACGUCCCCUGACGGUAUCUAACCAGAAAGCCACGGCUAACAACGUGCCAGCAGCCGCGGUAAUACGUAGGUGGCAAGCGUUGUCCGGAUUUAUUGGGCGUAAAGCGAGCGCAGGCGGUUUCUUAAGUCUGAUGUGAAAGCCCCCGGCUCAACCGGGGAGGGUCAUUGGAAACUGGGAGACUUGAGUGCAGAAGAGGAGAGUGGAAUUCCAUGUGUAGCGGUGAAAUGCGUAGAUAUAUGGAGGAACACCAGUGGCGAAGGCGGCUCUCUGGUCUGUAACUGACGCUGAGGCUCGAAAGCGUGGGGAGCAAACAGG
rnacentral:rRNA from 1 species